UAAACCCGAAAUCUCAUCUUUCAUUCUCAAAAACAAUACCCAAUACCCAAAAUCCCAUCUUAUUGUUGCUGAUGGUGUUCUUCGCCAGUUUCACUUUGAUAUCAAAAUUUUGGGAAAGCUGAAGGAAAUGUCGAGAAGAAUUGGGGGUCCGAGAAGAAUUGAUAAAUGUCAAAGAAUCACGGGCAUUGGUUUGAAGAAGCUGCGGCGCGAUUACGGGAUUCGGUUUGAGUACUGUGCUUGAUAAGGGUUCGGGUUCCUGCCUUGGGUCAUUGAAAGGGGUCACUCAGGUUGUCACAUAAAGUUGUAAGGUAUUAUAAAUAAGCAGCUUAGACACAGAGAUGCAUAUUAUG